CCAAUCGAAUUCAACAUAUAUGUUCUGCUCCUUAUCAUCCUGCUACAAACAGACUAAUUAAAUGUUUUGCACAAUCUCUCAAGCAUGAGAACCAGCCUGUCUACCAUAAGUUUUCAACACAAAUUGGAUAAUUUCUUACUUCAUAUAUUGGAACAUGCCAAUAUGAGGGAGUCAUCUGCUACUCUACCUAAAAAUACUAUUACAUACUUGUUUCAGCCUUUUACAUUCUGAGGAUUCCUCACAGGUAUUCAAAUCCCAAAGUAGCUAAGUUGAUUAAUAGCAUAUGUUUCGCCAUCACUCAUCACAAAAAUGGUGAGGGGGCUGAGGCACAUGACUUCUGAGGAGAGGCUGAGAGAACUGGGUUUAUUUAGUUUGGAGAAGAGAAGACUGAGUGGCAGGGGGUGGGUGUGUGUGUGGCAGGGGGAGGAAGAGGGUUUAAAUAGCAGCCUCCAGCUACCUGAAGGGUGGUUACAAAGAGAAUGGAGCUAGACUUCUCAGUGGUGGCAAAUGAGAGAACAAGAAGCAAUGGUCUUGAAUUGCAGCAAGGAAAGUUUAGGUUAGGUAUCAGGAAAAACUUUCUCACUGGAAGAGUAGUAAAGCACUAACACAGAUUACUCAGAGAGGUUGUGAAAUCUCCAUUCUUGGAGGUGUUUAAGACAAUGCUAGUCAAAGCAGAUAAUAUAGGCUGGGAUAAUAUAGUCAGCAAUGGUCCUGCUUUGAGCAGGGGCUUGGUCUAGAUGACCUCCUGAGGUCCCCUCUAACCCUAAUUUUCUAUGAUUUUAUCCCUGACCUUUCAAGGUCCCUUCCAGAAACAAUGUCUCUUUUUGGCAGGGAACCUACAGUCCUUCAUUCACAACAACAGAAGGCCUCUCAAGAGCCAUCAGUGCUCACUCCUUCAGUCUCAGAAUAUUGGUCAUGUGGGGAUACACCCACCUGAUCCCAGCGGAGGCUGGUGACAUUUAAAAGCUAGUAGGGAAAACUGACACACCGUGUAUGAUCAGAGCCAGCAAGCAGCAGCACCCGGCUUCUUCUGACUCAAAAUGGGGUAAGCUCUGCCUAUCCUCAGGCGACAUUUCUGCCUGAGCCUAAUGGGGUUUUUUUGUAUAUUUUUAAAGCAGCUUCUGUAUAAUAUCAUGUGGAUCAAUCUGCAGCAGACCACUAGGUAAGUGUGGGUGGGGAAGACUUCUAAACAGAAAAGAAACUUUCUUUGAAAACUUGUGUAUGUGCCAUGUGACCCCGUAGCAGCUUUGUGGAAUGUUCACCCUAUCUCAUUUUCAAAAGAGAAUGGGAUGUAGGCUCC
rnacentral:lncRNA from 1 species